rnacentral:rRNA from 1 species
AUGGCGCCGCACAUAACCCUCUCGCCGGUUGUGGUGGCGGCGGCUCUGAUGCUGCUGACAUCGUGUCCGCUCUUCGCCGGAGCGGUGGUUAAACCAGAGGAGGCGAUGGGGAUGCCCGGCUGCGACAUCACCUGCGGCGACAUGAAGGUGCCGUACCCAUUUGGCAUGGGCGCCCCCAGCUGCUACUGGCCAGGGUUCAACCUCACUUGCGACCGCACCGGCAAGACUCCGCGGCUGCUGCUCGGGGAUGGAAGCCUCCAAGUCCAAGAUAUCGACUUGGCUAAUUACCGGCUGUCCGUCACACACACCGGCGAGAUAAAAACCGACGCCAACGGGAGUGGCUGGUUAGGCGGCGCCCUGAGGGACGACGGGCCCUACGUGCUGUCAAGUGACAGCGAGCUCAUCCUGACAGGCUGCAACGUGCGGGCGACACUCAGGGUUGGCGGUGGUGCCACCAUCAGCAGCUGCUCCUCGGUCUGCGAAGCCGGCCAUGAACCAGUCACGAACGUGCCUUCCAGGUUCCAAGGCCGGAUGCUGUGCACUACCAUAGGGCUGCUGCCAGGCGGACAUUGUCCUCAAACAGCCAGUGGAGGCCGUGCCUAA